GGUUUUGAGUUUUAUUAUCUGCUCAGGACGAACGCUGGCGGCGUGCCUAAUACAUGCAAGUCGAGCGAACAGAUAGGGAGCUUGCUCCCUUGACGUUAGCGGCGGACGGGUGAGUAACACGUGGGCAACCCUGCCUGUAAAGACUGGGAUAACUUCGGGAAACCGGAGCUAAUACCGGAUAAUUCCUACCCUCGCCAUGAGGGAAGGUUGAAAGAUGGCUUCGGCUAUCACUUACAGAAUGGGCCCGCGGCGCCAUUAGCUAGUUGGUGAGGUAACGGCUCACCAAGGGCGACGAUGCGUAGCCGACCUGAGAGGGUGAUCGGCCACACUGGGACUGAGACACGGCCCAGACUCCUACGGGAGGCAGCAGUAGGGAAUCUUCCGCAAUGGACGAAAGUCUGACGGAGCAACGCCGCGUGAGCGAUGAAGGUCUUCGGAUCGUAAAGCUCUGUUGUUAGGGAAGAACAAGUACCGUUCGAAUAGGUCGGUACCUUGACGGUACCUAACCAGAAAGCCACGGCUAACUACGUGCCAGCAGCCGCGGUAAUACGUAGGUGGCAAGCGUUGUCCGGAAUUAUUGGGCGUAAAGCGCGCGCAGGCGGUUCCUUAAGUCUGAUGUGAAAGCCCACGGCUCAACCGUGGAGGGUCAUUGGAAACUGGGGAACUUGAGUGCAGGAGAGGAGAGCGGAAUUCCACGUGUAGCGGUGAAAUGCGUAGAGAUGUGGAGGAACACCAGUGGCGAAGGCGGCUCUCUGGCCUGUAACUGACGCUGAGGCGCGAAAGCGUGGGGAGCGAACAGGAUUAGAUACCCUGGUAGUCCACGCCGUAAACGAUGAGUGCUAAGUGUUAGAGGGUUUCCGCCCUUUAGUGCUGCAGCUAACGCAUUAAGCACUCCGCCUGGGGAGUACGGUCGCAAGACUGAAACUCAAAGGAAUUGACGGGGGCCCGCACAAGCGGUGGAGCAUGUGGUUUAAUUCGAAGCAACGCGAAGAACCUUACCAGGUCUUGACAUCCUUCGCUACCUCUAGAGAUAGAGGGUUCCCCUUCGGGGGACGGAGUGACAGGUGGUGCAUGGUUGUCGUCAGCUCGUGUCGUGAGAUGUUGGGUUAAGUCCCGCAACGAGCGCAACCCUUGACCUUAGUUGCCAGCAUUCAGUUGGGCACUCUAGGGUGACUGCCGGUGACAAACCGGAGGAAGGUGGGGAUGACGUCAAAUCAUCAUGCCCCUUAUGACACUGGGCUACACACGUGCUACAAUGGAUGGUACAAAGGGCUGCGAAGCCGCGAGGCUAAGCCAAUCCCAUAAAACCAUUCUCAGUUCGGAUUGCAGGCUGCAACUCGCCUGCAUGAAGCCGGAAUCGCUAGUAAUCGCGGAUCAUGUCAUGCCGCGGUGAAUACGUUCCCGGGCCUUGUACACACCGCCCGUCACACCACGAGAGUUUGUAACACCCGAAGUCGGUGGGGUAACCUUUUGGAGCCAGCCGCCUAAGGUGGGACAGAUGAUUGGGGUGAAGUCGUACAAAGGUAACCAAAA
rnacentral:rRNA from 1 species